rnacentral:rRNA from 1 species
AUGUCACUUAGUCAUAUCUGCCUCGCAGCGGGAAAUUCAGUGGUUGACUUGGACAGCAGGCGGGUUACACGUUCCACUGUGCCGAGAUGUGAGGUGCAGGUGGUGAUGAUCACCCCGGGGUAUGCGCUAGCGCCCUUGACGGGCACUCCAGGACCCGCCUACGUUCGUGAAAACCCAGGUAGGGCGGUUCGCUUGAGUUGCUCAACCGUCCCUUUGCCCGGUGCUCAUGACGCGCUACAGAACCUCCACCGUGCUAGCGGCAUAGGAGCCUACUCAGCGUCAGCGGCUUCGUGCCGCACUGGAGUGAUCCAAUAUGUGGUUCCGCAUGUUCCACCACUUCUCCGUUCAUUUCCAAUACUGAUCGUGAAACACCAUGAGCAGCAGGAUGUUGAGUCAGUCAGUGCCCUCGAUUAUUCUAUUCCUGAUAGAAGGAUCAUGGAGCCCCGGAAGCAUUCCAUCCAGCAGCAUCAUCUCCUUCAACCACGCGAGGACAAAACUGAUGUUAGCUACAUUCGACCGUUCACCGCACAGAGGCGAUCUCGAACACUACCUAUGAUAAUAAAUCCAAAGGAAAGGUCGACAAAAUGA